AGAGUUUGAUCAUGGCUCAGGAUGAACGCUGGCGGCGUGCCUAACACAUGCAAGUCGAGCGAUCUUCUUCGGAAGAGGGCGGCGGACGGGUGAGUAACGCGUGGGUAACCUGCCUCAUACACAUGGAUAACAUACCGAAAGGUAUGCUAAUACAAGAUGAUAUAAGAGAUUCGCAUGGAUUUCUUAUCAAAGCUCCGGCGGUAUGAGAUGGACCCGCGUCUGAUUAGCUAGUUGGUAAGGUGACGGCUUACCAAGGCGACGAUCAGUAGCCGACCUGAGAGGGUGAUCGGCCACAUUGGAACUGAGACACGGUCCAAACUCCUACGGGAGGCAGCAGUGGGGAAUAUUGCACAAUGGGCGAAAGCCUGAUGCAGCAACGCCGCGUGAGCGAUGAAGGCCUUCGGGUCGUAAAGCUCUGUCCUCAAGGAAGAUAAUGACGGUACUUGAGGAGGAAGCCCCGGCUAACUGCGUGCCAGCAGCCGCGGUAAUACGUAGGGGGCUAGCGUUAUCCGGAUUUACUGGGCGUAAAGGGUGCGUAGGUGGUUUCUUAAGUCAGGAGUGAAAGGCUACGGCUCAACCGUGGUAAGCUCUUGAAACUGGGAAACUUGAGUGCAGGAGAGGAAAGUGGAAUUCCUAGUGUAGCGGUGAAAUGCGUAGAUAUUAGGAGGAACACCAGUAGCGAAGGCGGCUUUCUGGACUGUAACUGACACUGAGGCACGAAAGCGUGGGGAGCAAACAGGAUUAGAUACCCUGGUAGUCCACGCCGUAAACGAUGAGUACUAGGUGUCGGGGGUUACCCCCCUCGGUGCCGCAGCU
rnacentral:rRNA from 1 species